CGCGGUGUGUUCGCGGACGUCGCUUCGAGUUUAGUCAUGUUACGUUAAUUGAUCACGUGCUAUGGAAGACGAGUGGAAUUGAUCUCCAAGUGAUGCUGAUGGACGAAGCUAAAAUGGAUGAAUCAACCAAGUGCCAGGAUAGAAGAUGCUCACCAAGUGGUCAUCAAUUAACAACACUAACUUAGUGUUAUCCCAGGCAAGCCCCGGUGCAUUUGCCACCUCCUUGCUGUUUUAAAAACUUUUAUCACUUAUCUGCUGCAUUAGGUGAUAGGAGUUGAGUGAAUAAACAAUUGAUGCAUUAUCAUUCCUUUGAAUUUGAUUCUCCUCCUUGCUACUUGUUUUA